ACCACUAAGCUAUCCCAUUAUUUUGUUAUGGGUUCCAACCUGUCAAUAUUUAAAUCCAUUGAGAAUUUUUCUAAUAUAAUUAUAAGUCUUACGGUAGCGGGUAGAGGUUUCGGGAACCCCACCGGAUACAGUAGAUUCGCCCCUGAAUGAACUUAUAUUUAACCUAAUUGGUCAACAAAAGCACACAUUUGUCUCGUUAAAAAUAUUGUACAUAUGAUACUCAAACACCAAAAGUAUCUAAAUUUUAAUUUCUUGACCUACAAUAUCAUUUAAACUCACAACUACCUCUCUAAGUAGACUAGAUAAUAUUUUUCACCUUAACGACCUUAUGUCCAUUAUUCAUAAGUCUCUCUUAUUUUAAGCUGAUUGCUCUAAAAUUAGUCAUUUGAUAAUUUUGCUUAAAAUCCAAUCCAAUCCCAUCUCCAUUUAUCACUAAGACAAGGAGGCGAUUACCUGUAUAAAAAAGUUAACCUCUUGUCUACUCGAUAUAUUUAAAAUAAAUAAAGAAUGCACAUAACAUUCAACACUAAAAUAUGUAUGUAAAUCAACUUUAUUGAUAAUUAAAGAACAUUAGUUUUGUGAACAUGGAAAAAUAAAGGACAAAAUUAAAUAUCUUAAAAUCUACGCAAGCCUUGGAAUCUGGUAUGUCCUACAAAUGUAUCUCUAGACAAAAGCUUAAUCAAUAAAUCUGCCAACAUAUCUUUUGUAGACAUAUUUUACGUUCACAAACUUGCAUCUAACCAUGACUCUUUACAUAGUUUUACUUUAAAAUACUAAUGAAUUUAACAUUAAAUAUAGUUAUUAUAAUAUUGAACAUGCUUUAAAAAUGUUAAUUUAUUCAACAUCAAAUUAUUUUGUGUUCUCAACAUGUGAAAAAUAUCUAAAGUAGAUUUUUUGGAAGAAUGAAUAUCAUAAUUUUCUAGAAUAAUCAUGAAUAUCAUAGUUUUCUAGUUAAAAUUUCUAGAAUAAUCUUGUGAAUUAAUAUCAUAAUUUUGUAGUAAAGUCUCUAGAAUACUCUAACAUAAUAUUUAGGAUAAUUAACUUACAAAAAUAUCUAGAUUAUUCUUAGAUAGCUAGAAGAUAAAGUUUGCUAGAAUAUUCUUGUAGAUGUAUCUAGAAGAAAUUUUAGAACCAUCCAUAGACUAGUAUAAAUAGAUAAGUGUCUAGUACAUUUGUAACCAUCCAAAAACAAAUUCAAUACAGAGUAUAUUCAUGCAGUCUUCCUCCAAUGGAACGGGGGAUCGCACCUUCAGCGAAGAAAUCCAAGUUCUCCCUUUACAAUAUCUUCCUUCACCUUUCUAGCUUCCUCUUCUUAGUUGAAUCCUCCUAUCUUAGUUAACAAUCUUGGGCUAGCAGAAGAUCUCUCCAACUACACAUUUCUUCUGCUAUUCUCUACAUGGUAUCAAAGCCAAAGUCAUAGAUUGACUUGUGUUUAUUUCAAGAUAGGGUUUGUGGUCAAUUCAACUGCUUUGUUCGAAUGAAUUUAAAACGGUCGUGUUAAUGGACUGGAAAUGGAGCUAUUGAAUCAGUCAAAUUAUAAGGUAUGGAAGAAAUGUAUGGAAUCAUACCUUGUGGGUGAGGAUAAGGCGCAAAUCAGCUCAUGAAAUAUGGAGGACCCUCGAUCAGUUGUUCAAUAAGAAGAAUGAAGCCCGACUACAAAUAUUGGAGAAUGAAUAAGCGAGCACCACUCAAGGGCUAGAAUCUUGAUGAAUUAGAUACAUUGAUGAUAUGAAAUGGUGGAAGGAAUAAAAGACAUAGGAACAUAGAUCAGAAAGGAAAGUUGAAGUCAGAAAUCCACAUUGGUGCAGUCACCGCGUCGCGCCAAUCAAGAAAAUGGUGUUGGUCGAAUUCCAAUGGAGUAGCGCGAUUAUGACGCGUCGCGGAGCAGCUUGAAAUCCCAUUUGGCAAAAUUCAGUGUUGGUCCCCGACCGUGGCGCGUCGCGGUAAAGAGGGAAAUCAAAGUUUUCACUUUCCAGUGUUGGUCCGCGAUUUCACCGCGUCGCGGUGCAAGUUCAGUUGUCAAUUUUUGAGACCUGAAUUCGAGGAAUUCGAGAAAUCUGAAGAAAAAAUAUGCUGGA